GUCUACAGCCAUACCACCCUGAACGCGCCCGAUCUUGUCUGAUCUCAGAAGCUAAGCAGGGUCGGGCCUGGUUAGUGCUUGGAAGGGAGAGAUAGAUC
ensembl:rRNA 5S_rRNA 5S ribosomal RNA